CUGCGUUGGAGUGAACUUCGCGUUGAAGAUUUGAGAUAAAAUAUAUAUAUGCUGAUAAGGAAGCAGGACUGCUGAAAGACUCAAGCAUGGCGGUACCUUUUGUGCAGGACUGGGACCUGAUCCAAACGCUGGGAGAAGGAGCAUAUGGAGAGGUGAGGCUGUUAGUGAACCGACAGACAGGAGAGGCUGU